rnacentral:rRNA from 1 species
AACGAACGCUGGCGGCAUGCCUAACACAUGCAAGUCGAACGAGACCUUCGGGUCUAGUGGCGCACGGGUGCGUAACGCGUGGGAACCUGCCCUUAGGUUCGGACUAACUCCCCGAAAGGGGUGCUAAUACCGGAUAAUGUCUACGGACCAAAGAUUUAUCGCCUUUGGUUGGGCCCGCGUUGGAUUAGCUAGUUGGUAGGGUAAAAGCCUACCAAGGCGACGAUCCAUAGCUGGUCUGAGAGGAUGAUCAGCAACACUGGGACUGAGACACGGCCCAGACUCCUACGGGAGGCAGCAGUGGGGAAUAUUGGACAAUGGGCGAAAGCCUGAGCCAGCAAUGCCGCGUGAGUGAUGAAGGCCUUAGGGUUGUAAAGCUCUUUUACCCGGGAUGAUAAUGACAGUACCGGGAGAAUAAGCUCCGGCUAACUCCGUG